rnacentral:rRNA from 1 species
UACAGAGGUGGCAAGCGUUGUUCGGAAUUACUGGGCGUAAAGGGCGCGUAGGCGGUCUUGUCAGUCCCUUGUGAAAUCCCCCGGCUCAACUGGGGAACUGCAAGGGAAACAGCAGGGCUUGAGUUCGGGAGAGGGAAGCGGAAUUCCGGGUGUAGCGGUGAAAUGCGUAGAUAUCCGGAGGAACACUGGUGGCGAAGGCGGCUUCCUGGACCGAUACUGACGCUGAGGCGCGAAAGCUAGGGGAGCAAACAGG